UACAGAGGGUGCGAGCGUUAAUCGGAAUUACUGGGCGUAAAGCGUGCGUAGACGGUCAUGUAAGUCGGAUGUGAAAGCCCCGGGCUCAACCUGGGAAUUGCAUUCGAGACUGCAUGGCUUGGGUGCGGAAGAGGGAAGCGGAAUUUCCGGUGUAGCGGUGAAAUGCGCAGAUAUCGGAAGGAACACCAGUGGCGAAAGCGGCUUCCUGGUCCGACACCGACGUUCAGGCACGAAAGCGUGGGGAGCAAACAGG
rnacentral:rRNA from 1 species